AAAGAGCAGCAGCAUCUUUUUAAGCUCUGUGAAGAGGUUCCGGGCAGCUGAACUGGUUUUAAUUACACGUUACUCCGUCUGGAUAACCGGAAAGAACAGUGCAUUCUGUAAAGAGGAGAGAAAGCCUGCAAUCACAUUUUUGGCAGUACAAAUGGUUGAUCCCGGGGCUGCUGAGGCUACAUGAAUCAACAGCCCAUCCACUUCAGGUGUGUCUCCCUACCUCUUCUCGAGGGUGAACUUUGGCGUCGGCAGUGUGGCUGGUCUGCCGUGGCAGUUGCAGGGCCCAGCGCGGCUGCCGCAUCGUGUGCGUGGCGUCCCAUGUGCGGCACGGCGCGUCUUUUGUGUCUCCCCAUUCCGCGUCAUCGACGGCGCCUGCCUGUCUGCUGACUGAGGUUGGAGGCGGAAGCGUGGCCUUCAAGCCGGUGCAGUUUCCCUUAGGCGUAGCAUCCAAUUCCUAGGUAGGUCUGUG
ensembl:lncRNA